GGGAGUCUGUCGGACACCGGAGGACGCGCCAGCGACACGGUUCGGGACCGUGAGGCCCCGGGUUCAAAUCCCGGGGCCCCCG
rnacentral:tRNA from 1 species